GGAAAUAUAGCAUAAGUUUAAUGUGUCUCAGUUACGUUGAGAACAUCUCCUAUCAGGAGUAUUUCUU
rnacentral:tRNA from 1 species